ACUAACUCAAACACAUAUUUCAUAUGUAAAACACAAGGCAGAGAAACGGAAAUAGGACACAGAAAGAAAGAAAAGAACAAUCUUGUUGAUUGGGAAGGGACGCUUCUCAUACAAAACAUCACACAAAAAUAGCAAGGUGGUUAGCCCACCAACUUUUCUCUUCUACGGUCUUUCAAUAUUUUCUAACCUUUAUACUUCUUCUAUACUAACUCUUAUUCUUCACCCCUCUUUUCUAAAGAAAAAAAAAAAAAAAGUUUGGUUAAACCAAGCAAGAACAUCAAACACUGUUUGAUAGCGUUUGAUAUUCUGAUGCGCUGGUAAAAAUACCUAUAACUAGUGCAUAGAAAUGCUGUGAUUUUACAUUUAAUCUAUUUAUGUAUUCAAACAUCAUCCUGAUAAGACUGUCCAUCAGGGAUCAACAGUCUUUUUCACAAAUUAUAUUGUAUUUUUUUUUUUUUUUUGUGAAUAAAAGCAUUAAAAAAAAUUCUCUCUCUCUCUCUCUCUCUCUCUCUCUCUCUCUCUCUCUCUCUCUCUCUCUCUCUCUCUGUGGCCUUUGAAAACAGUUGUGGUGAGAGGAAAGCGCUUCAGAGUACGGGCUUACGUAUCUCAACAGGUAUUUCAUUACUCGUCUGUUUCAGUGUGAGAAGGCAGCCAGUGUACCUCAUGACGUGCAGUACUGCUUAGUGUUCAGUUGUUAUAACAUUUCUAAGUAUUGUUUCAGAUAUACGAGGAGAGGAUUUGUAGAGUGAAGUAGGGAUGUCACUGGAUUCAGAUAUGUGUUGAUGUACAAUUUAACCAACAAGUAUCACUCCAUUGUUUAGCAUGAUGGUGUAUGGGUUACACUGGAUUCAGAUAUGUGUUGAUGUACAAUUUAACCAACAAGUAUCACUCCAUUGUUUAGCAUGAUGGUGUAUGGGUUACUGAAGGGUAUAAUGUAUUACGGUAUCAUUAUUGUUGUUAUGGACAUUUGGCAUAUCAGUAAAAGUGAUUUUGGUAAUUAUAUGAUUACGGUCAACUACCACUGUUACUAUCGUUGGCUGUACAAUUGUUGGUUACAAGGCAGAAGGCAGGUGUUAGGAGCUGAGGUGUGGUAGGUCAGCGUGAGGUGUCGCCAGUGUGCGGCAGGCAGUCAGACUAUGUUGAAGGCUAAAGCGGAGUUUCCUUGCUGGCUAAAAGAAAUCGCUUACAGUUCACGCUACUCAAUAAAGAAGAAAGUGAGGACA